rnacentral:snoRNA from 1 species
GGCUGCUGAUGAAAUUGGUUGGGAUUCU